rnacentral:lncRNA from 1 species
GUAAAGAAGAAAAUACGGCACACUACUAUAUAUUUGGGACACUACUGCUACAUUUUCCUUUGACUAAGAAACUUGAAUUGAAUCUUGAUCACUUAACAUAAACUAUGUGAAGCAAUUAUAUGAUGAUGAUGAACAUGAGAUUAGGGGAACUCUUGUGCUCAAGCGUGCCAAUCCUGGGGUGGUUAAUGGAUUCAAUAGCUGAACUAUUUGCCGCUACUUCGGGCAAGAAGAACCUAUUGAACACUCUGGAAGCUGAUGAAGGUGAUGUUCCAACUGCAGCUAAUGUAGCAGCACAGAAGCAUUUUCGACAAAGUCAACUCAUGCUCAAAAUCUAAUGAUCUGGGUCGUCUUAUGUGCGACCAUUACUGUAAUUAAGUACUUGCUUAUAGCUUUUGAUUAGCUUGAAUCCUCAGAGACUUGUGACUUGUGAGCGAGUUUUGUGUAACUAGUUAAAAGUGAAACUAUUUUGUAAUGGCUAGAGCUUGUGAAGCUAAGUGUAACCCCAUGCUCAUACUACUAGCUAGCUUGUUCUGAUUUGUUUUUGUUUGACAUCAUACUUCUUCUAUGAAUUCCCUUUGCUCCAAACAUUGAAUAAUGGAUCAAAGGAAUGUAUACACCAAGAUUACUAGGAUAAGUGGAUUGUAGUAUUGGACUAAUCCAAUAAUGAAUGUAUAAUUAAUAGAGUAAUACUUUAAUAAUUACUACCCUGAC